rnacentral:rRNA from 1 species
AGCAGCCGCGGUAAUUCCAGCUCCAAUAGCGUAUAUUAAAGUUGUUGCAGUUAAAAAGCUCGUAGUUGAAUUUCGGGGUUCUACCGUUGGUCGGACUGACCAGUCUGUACUAGCGUGUAGAAUUCCUACCUUCUGGGGAACCAUCAUGUUAUUAAUUUAGCGUGGUGGGAAACCAGGACCUUUACCUUGAAAAAAUUAGAGUGUUCAAAGCAGGCUUACGUCUGAAUACAUUAGCAUGGAAUAAUAGAAUAGGACGGUGGUCCUGUUUUGUUGGUUUCUGAAUCACCGUAAUGAUUAAUAGGGAUAGUUGGGGGCAUUAGUAUUCAAUUGUCAGAGGUGAAAUUCUUGGAUUUAUUGAAGACUAACUUCUGCGAAAGCAUUUGCCAAGGAUGUUUUCAUUAAUCAAGAACGAAAGUUAGGGGAUCGAAGACGAUCAGAUACCAUCGUAGUCUUAACCAUAAACUAUGCCGACUAGGGAUCGGACGAUGUUAAAUUUAUUGUACUCGUUCGGCGCCUUACG